rnacentral:lncRNA from 1 species
AAUUUCAAUAUGAUUUGAGUGGCUGACAUUUCCUAUUACAAUAUCGAAUAAUAAUGAAAUUAAGUCCAAAUCCACCGUACUUCACGGAAAAUUAACUAAACUAAUUUCAAUUUUUAAACUCGACGAAAAUUUUAUAUUAAUUUUUCAAUUAUAGAGUGAGCAUUUAUUAAAUUGAAUUAAAUAAAUUAAAAUUUAAAAUUUUAAUAUUUAUAGAAGUUAAUUUAAAUCGAUUUUAAUUAAAAAUUAAUUUAAUUUAAUUUAAUUUAAUCAAUUUAAAUUUUUAUUUUUUAUAUUUUAUUUUUAAUAUUUUAAAAUGUAAUUAAAAUAUUUUUAUUUUAAUUAUGAUAAAAUAUUUUUAUAUUAUUAAAAAAUAAUAUAUUAUUAUUAUUAAUGAGUUUAAUUUAUUUUUUUAAUUUAAAAUUAAAUUAAAUUUAAAUAAUUAAAUUUUUUUAAAUUAAAAAUUAAAUUGAAUUAAAAUAAAUAAAAAAUUAAAUUAAAUUUCUAAAUUAAUUUAAUUUGAUGAAUUUUUUUGUAAACUGAAUAGUGUGACCCCUAAUUAUACAGCUCCUUCGUAAAACCAAGAAAUAUGAAACUCUAUCUUUGACAUUGGGCCCAAGAAAUUACAAUUCCAUAACUCAAUUUACAUGAAAAAUAAUAUUACUCAUAUGAAUUUAAUAUAUAUAUAUAUAUAUACGUGUAAUUAAAAUUUAAAUGUUAAAUAAAUAAAAUAUUUAUUUUUUGAAUUUAAUAAUAAACAUAAUCAAGGAAUAAGGGCAGGGUAGCUAAGCUUCACCGAUAUAAAAUAGUAUUUUUUAAUAAAAACUAAAAUUUAAUUAUGAUAAUUUAAUAAAAUUUAUAUAUUACUGUCUAUAUAUAUUUUUUUUUGAAAUGGGACUGUCUAUAUUUUUAAAAGUAACUAUUUAGUUUUUAUAAAUUUUUAAAAGUAAUAAAUUAUUCUUUUAUAAUAUUGUUUAAUCAGAUUAAAUUGCUAUAAAUAUUUAAAUUUCAAGAAUUAAAAUUCUGAAAUGUAUAUAAUUAUAAGAACUGAAUUUUGAAUAAAAUAAAUGAAAUCUAUAUUCAAUACGGUAAGGAUUAAUUUUUUUUUAAUUACAAUAAAAUAUUUCAUUUUUAAAAUAUAGAAAUUAAAAUGUAAUUGACAUCCUAAUCCACGCUUGGGCAGAAUCAAAGGAAAUGGAUGAUAAACGGAUCCAUAGCACAAUAAAAAUGGGCCAGUUGGGUCACUGUCUCUGUGACUGUGGACUGUCCAUAUUGAAAUCCAGUCCAAGUGGGUCAAAUUUGAAGUUGCUUACAAUAAAAAAAUUAAAGUAUCGCAAAAUUUAAUUUGUAUAAUAUCAAUCUUUGAAAUUCAAACUAAUGGGUUUCUUUUUUUUUUUUGCUAACAAAAUUUUUUUUUCCCUUCAAUGUUUUUUGUUUGAUAAAACAAAGCAAAAGUUGUAAAGAAAAGUUAAUUUUUAAUAUAAUGAAAAUAAUGGAGUUUCCUCUCAACAUUAUGAAUGAAAAUUUCCAUUGAAAUGAUUAUAGAACAAAUUUAAAUUCUAUUCAUUUUUCAUGAGAAGAUAAUAAUGCAAGAAGAAAAAUUUAAAUAAUCAAAUGGGGCAUGUAUGAAAUAUUAGAUAAGAACUUACAACAAAAUUAAGAAGAAAUUAAUUAAGGAAGACAUUGUGGAUUGCCCAUCUAUGUGAUCAAACAUGCACCUUUAACAAUUAAUGAAGAACAUAUUUAUUAAAAAAAAGAAAAGGCUAAAGAAGGAAGUAGGAGAAAUCUAAUAUUUUGGGUAAUUUUAAUUAUUUUGAUAUUUCUAACCCUAAGAAAAAUAUGGGGGAAGGUGAAAGGAGAAAGA